rnacentral:rRNA from 1 species
UACGUAGGGCGCAAGCGUUGUCCGGAAUUAUUGGGCGUAAAGAGCUCGUAGGUGGUGUGUCGCGUCUGCCGUGAAAGCCCGGGGCUCAACCUCGGAACUGCCUUCGAUACUGCGGGUCUCGAGUCCGGGAGAGGUGAGUGGAAUUCCUAGUGUAGAGGUGAAAUUCGUAGAUAUUAGGAAGAACACCAGUGGCGAAGGCGGCUCACUGGCCCGGUACUGACGCUGAGGCGCGAAAGCGUGGGGAGCAAACAGG